rnacentral:rRNA from 1 species
CCACACCUAAAAAACUUUCCACGUGAACUGUCUUACUUAGUUUUGCGCUGCUGUCGGGAGUGUUCUGCGUGCGCUUUGCACGGAGAGCGUUUCUUGCAACGGCUGAACGAAGGUUGGUGGAGUGUUGUCUUUCUUUUGCGUGCUUGAUUGUAUGCGGGAGACGUACGCCGCCGGCUGACUUACUUUUUCAACCCCCAUUACAAAACAAACUGAAAUAUACUGUGAGAACGAAAGUUCUCGCUUUGAACUAGAUAACAACUUUCAGCAGUGGAUGUCUAGGCUCGCACAUCGAUGAAGAACGCUGCGAACUGCGAUACGUAAUGCGAAUUGCAGAAUUCAGUGAGUCAUCGAAAUUUUGAACGCAUAUUGCACUUCCGGGUUAUGCCUGGAAGUAUGUCUGUAUCAGUGUCCGUAAAUCAACCUUGCCUUUCUUUUCCUGUGUAGUCAGGGGAGGAGACGGCCGAUGUGAAGUGUCUCGCGUGCGUCGGUUUCUUGGUAUUCUUUCCAAGAGCACGGCGGUCGAGUCCUUUGAAAACGACACGAUCUUUCUUAUGGGUUUGCGACGUGUGUUGGUCGAACGCGGUGAUUUUCGGAUCGCUCGUGGUCGUCGGCGACUUCGGUGAAUGCAUUAUGGAGGAAACCUUGCUUCGCGGUACGUUAGGCUUCGGCUGGACAAUGUUGCGUAUGUGGGUGUGACUUCCGUGUUCGCCUCGAGGUGUACUGGCGGUCGUGGGCUUGACCUGUUUGUCGCUGUGUAGUAGGCUUGUGCAUUGUUUUUGCGGACUCGUCUGCGACUGACGCUUUCGGGUGUUGGUAUUGCAGGAGAAAGCUUGAUUUGGGAAGUUUUGUGUUUGUUUUUGCCUUUCGGGGUGGAAUAAGCAUCUCAAUUGGACCUGAUAUCAGACAAGACUACCCGCU